UUCUUUCUCUUUAUUUUUCUUCUUCUUUCUUCUUCUUCUUCUCUGGUUUUAUUCUUCUCCUCUCUGUUGAUUUCAAUCUCAGAGAUUUGAGAUUCUUCUGUUAGAGAAUUUAUCGUAGACCUAGUUUACUUGAUGAUAUGAAGAAGGAGGUGAUGUUAUUGAAGCCGAGUGAGUUCUGGAAACAACAGAGCUUUGGGGAUGGUAAAGGGGGCUCUCCACUGUGUAAGCACUUCGAUCGGAUAUAAUAUUGUUACCAUUAGAUCUCUUUAGAUCUUGAUAUGUAGAGUGCGCGUAGAAUAAGGUACUGGUAAGGUACAUAUAGUUUAUGACUUGAGGACGGAAACCUCAUGGGCGCUUUAAUGAUCAUUGAAGAAUCUGCAACAGUCAUGCCUUGCUACUCCGAAGGAAGACGUCGCUCAACUAUUAUUUAUGUUGUGAAUAUAUGCUGGUUUAAUGGUUGGUAGAAUUUUAUAUUUUCAGUACAUUUACUAUCUUAAUAUGUUUUAUUCUGUUUUCCGUUUUUCUAACGGUUUUCAGUAAAACCCGCAUUGUCUUUAAA